GCUUAGAGUUUGAUCCUGGCUCAGCCUGAACGCUGGCGGCAUGGCUAAAACAUGCAAGUCGAAGGAGAAGCGGGCUUCGGCCCGUGGACACUGGCGAAAGGGCGAGUAAUGCGAUCGAACGUGCCCCGAGGUGGGGGAUAGUGUCGGGAAACUGGCAGUAAUACCCCAUACGCUCUUCGGAGGAAAGCUCCGGCGCCUUGGGAGCGGCGAUCGUCCUAUCAGGUAGUUGGUGAGGUAAAGGCUCACCAAGCCAAAGACGGGUAGCGGGUGUGAGAGCAUGACCCGCCGCAUCGGAACUGAGACACUGUCCGGACUCCUACGGGAGGCUGCAGUAACGAAUCUUCCGCAAUGCACGCAAGUGUGACGGAGCAAUGCCGCGUGUGGGAUGAAGCGGUUACGCCGUGUAAACCACUGUCAGGGUCUAGGAAGAACUGACCAGACCCAGAGGAAGGGCCGGCUAAUCUCGUGCCAGCAGCCGCGGUAAUACGAGAGGCCCAAGCGUUAGGCGGAAUCACUGGGCUUAAAGGGUGCGUAGGCGGAUGGGUAAGCAUCUCGUGAAAUGCCUCGGCUCAACCGAGGAAUUGCGGGGUGAACUGCCUGUCUUGAGGAAGGCAGAGGUUGUCGGAACGUUCGGUGGAGCGGUGAAAUGCGUAGAUAUCGAACGGAACGCCGAAGGGGUAGCCAGGCAACUGGGCCUUUCCUGACGCUGAGGCACGAAAGCGUGGGGAUCAAACAGGAUUAGAUACCCUGGUAGUCCACGCCGUAACGAUGUGCACUAGCUCGAUGCAGGUCUGACCCUGUGUCGGGCGCCGAGAAAUCAUUAAGUGCACCGUCUGGGGAGUACGGUCGCAAGGCUAAAACUCAAAGGAAUUGA
rnacentral:rRNA from 1 species